ACGUCACAGCUUAUUGUGCACAUGUUUCUAUUACAACUUGCGGAUCGCUCGCUAAUAAUGUCGCAUAAUAGUGUGCCUCUGCCAAAUAAAGCAUCAUGUCCACAUGUGGUUCGGGCUCCCACUGUCAUUUCAAUGGUGGGUCUGCCAGCACGUGGCAAGACCUACAUUGCCAAGAAACUGACCCGAUACUUGAACUGGAUUGGUGUCACUACCAAGGCCUUUAAUGUAGGAGAGUAUCGCAGAGCAGCCACAGACUCCUACAAAAAUCACAAUUUUUUUAGAGCAGACAACAAAGAGGCACAAGAACUUAGAACGAGAGUUGCCUUAAUGGCAGUUGAUGAUGCCUGCAAAUUCCUCAGCACUGGUGGAGAAGUGGCAGUUAUUGAUGCCACCAACACUACAAUGGAUAGACGUCGACUUCUUGUGGACAUUUGCACAGUAAAAUAUCAGUUUAAAUUGUUUUUUGUGGAGUCCAUUUGUGAUGAUCCUAACAUCAUACAAGGCAACAUAUUGGAGGUGAAGGUUUGUAGCCCUGACUACGUUGGCCAGGACAAGAAUGAGGCAGUAAAAGACUUCCUUCAGAGAAUUGAGCACUACCGGCAGACAUAUGAGCCGAUGGGUUCUCCUGCAGAAAGGGACAUGUCUUACAUUCAGAUUUUCAAUCAGGGCGAACGGUUCAUAGUCAAUAAACUGGCAGGUCAUCUACAGAGCCGAGUGGUUUACUACCUCAUGAAUAUUCAUGUGCUGCCAAGAACCAUCUAUCUCACACGACAUGGGGAAAGCAAAAUGAAUCAAGAUGGACGUAUUGGGGGGGACAGUGAUCUGUCAGAGAGAGGUUGGCAGUAUGCUGAAGCUCUGGGCAAAUUUGUGGAGGAGGAGAACAUCCAGGAACUGAAGGUCUGGACCAGUGAAUUAAAGCGAACUAUCCAGACAGCACGCUACAUCAGUGCACCAAAGGAACACUGGAAAGCACUCAAUGAGAUUGAUGCUGGUGUAUGUGAAGGCAUGACUUAUGAGGAGAUUCAAGAAAAGUAUCCUGAAGAGUUUGCUUUGAGAGAUCAAGACAAGUUCCACUACAGAUACCCAAGUGGGGAGUCAUAUCAAGACCUGGUUGCACGUCUUGAGCCUGUUAUACUGGAGUUGGAACGGCAGGAGAAUGUUAUGGUCAUUUGUCACCAGGCUGUGGCACGCUGCCUACUAGCCUACUUCCAAGACAAAUCUGCUGCGGAAAUUCCUCAUGUUGCUGUGCCGUUUGAGUCGGUGGUUCGAAUGAAAAUGGCGGGGCCUCGAUGCGAGUGCGAGAUCUUGCCCUUACUGAGCCGACCUUCCAUACCUGAAGGUACCACUUCAUACCGUGAUCAAAUUGACACCGGUAGCUUAUGGCUGUAGAGUUGAGUUCCUGGCCCUUAAUAUACCAGCCGUCAACACUCACAGGGAAAAGCCAGAGAACGUCAGCAGAAGUCGAUCUACAAACGAGGCCCUGCAGACUGUUCCAGAUCACGAGUGAUUCUAGUACAGCACCAAUCCAGGCAGAAAAUCCGACAUGAGACAUGAAGAGUUUAGAAAUGUCCCAUAAUUCAUAUAAGAUUUUGUCAGUCCAUGUGCUUACUCAGGAAUCUUGCUGAGGUCUUUCCAUUCCAUGUUUAUUGUUUUGACUGAAGGCAUGGCAAAGGAGCCUUUUCAGCAAUAAAAUGUAAACUUUUUAAAGAAAAUGUCAUUUUUCAUGUAAAAGAGUGGUUCAUUCUCUUGUUAUAUUGUCUAUAAAAAACCCAGUUCACGCAGUUAUGAUUUUGAUUCUGGUACAAUAACCGGUGAGAUAUAGUCAACUUCUUGAGCAUUGGGGGGUUUUUUCCCCCUGUUUACUUAAUUGAAAGUCCUGUAACAGGUUAUAUUUGGAAAUGAAUUUGGAAAAGAUUUGUAGAUAUAUUUCAUGAUUAAAGUAGAUUCAAUUUUCAAGAAUAAUGUUAAAGCAUUGUUUUUAUUUUUCAUGUCCUGUUUUCAUAGCUAUAAAGAGUUGACCUUCUUUCUAAAAUCUCCAUUACUGUCUUCCACAGACACAAAAGAAGUAUUUGGUGCCUGAUCUUUGAAGUCCUCAUUCAAACUACCUUACCAGUCUUGUUAGAGCUCAUGAGCAGCUGUGUGUGUUUGUAAAUGCGCCUGUGCAUGCAUGUGUAAGUAACAUUCACUUAAUGUGAAAGGAACAAUACCAUUGGUAGCUGUUCAAAUAAUUGGCCCAGUUGAGUUAGCUGUUGAGUCUUACAGUAGCUGGCAGCAUAAACAAAGCCAACAGUUUUUUGGCGGCUUGCAUCAAGUAUAGGUCAUAGACCGGAAGUGUGAACUAAUAGCAACAGUUAAGAUGUUUCUCGUCUGAUGAAGGUGACUGAUUAAUCAAAGCUUUAUUGUCUGUUUUGUGCCUUUAUUGAUUGGAUUGUGUGCGCCAGCCCAUUUCCCCCUUUUUUUUUUGAGCAGGUUGUAUGGCAGCAGGUUGUGAUAUAAUUACCUCCUAAUGUGUCAAAUGUUUAUUGUUUCAUUUGUUCUACUGAUUGAUGAUGCAAUGUUCUGAGGCCUGCAUUAUACAACUAAUUGUCUUCAUUGCUGUUGGUUUCCUUUCUUGAACAUUUUUUGGGAAGAAGGGGUUGGUAAGGGACAAAACAAGUGGAGUAGAAACCGGGUGGGGGUUGGGGGCAGCUGUACCUCAAAGGAGGUAAUAAUAUGAACAUCAUUCACUGUCAGCAUGAAGUUUGCCCCUUCAAAGUUGAUUAUCUUCCUAUGCCAGUAAAAACUUAAUUCUUGCUGCUGGGUGAUGUUGAUCAUAUAUGCACACACAGCUGUAUUUUGGAAGAUGCUGGUAUCAAAUUAUAUUCUUGUGAGGUAAUCAAUCUUUGUUCUUCCCAAAAAGUUUUUUAAAGCAAACUUUGAUAGCCAGCAUUUUAUGAGCAUGCUAACAAUUCUGAAAGUAUCAUGCUGCAUUAAUUUGAAUGUCUUCAUGUUGAUGAAUACAUGUUGAUCAUUUCGGUUAAUUUAUUAUUUUAGUGGGUGGAGAGUUUCCAUACCUAUAAAGAAUGUCUGCUGUGCAAUUAGUAACAUUCAUUUUAAAUUCAAGUCAUUGAUGCUCAAAAAAGCUUAAACAGUUUCUGUAUGCACUCUAUUGAAGGGAAAGAUGCAUAGCCCUUUAAAACAGCUUUUAUUUGCUGUUAGAGGCUGUUUUUAUUUGAUGGACCAAAUCUUGUUCAAGAAGACUGGCAGUCAGUUUAAUUCUAGACUGGUAAUGUUUGGAAAAACCAAUAGACAACAAUCCUUUAUUCAUGAGCAAUUGUGGAAAAUUGAUCCAGAUAUUCAAUUGGUGCUAAUUAGACUCGGGGGAGGGUACAGCGCAGUGGUCAAGAGUGCUGGCACUAGUUUUAUACACCUGUGUAGUGUAGCUCACUUCCUCAAGUCAUCCCACCUGGCGUUAAUGGGUACCUGACACGUAAAAAGGUUUAAAAAGAUAAGGCCACAAGAGAGAGGAGAUGGGCACUGUGCUCACAUGCUCCCAAGAUAAGGGAGGUGUCUUUAACACUUCACUCCCUAACGACCAGAAAAAAGGUCAUGGGACAACCUUCACCUUACCUAAUGAGACUGGAAUCACAUUUAAUGAUGGCUUAUUGCCAAAAACUGUAGUCGAGAAAUGCAAUGUUCAAAAACUUGUAUCUUGCAAAUUGAAUAUUCUCAGAUUUUGAGAGUUAAUGUCUUGUAAUGAACUAAACCAAACCAUUUGAACAAAUAUUAUUCACUUAGGUUAGUCUUUUUGUCUGAAAUUAUGAUUAUUAAAUUAGAAUUUAGUUAAACCAUUUUUUUAUGCACAUGUGGGUUAACAUUGUGUUUCUUUGUCUAUUCCAGAACUCUUGGGUUCUUUCCAUGUAUUGUUUUGUUUUUCUUUGAAGAUGCUACCUUAAACAAGAGUUGUAAAACCAUAACCAUGUGAUGCAAAGAGUUGCAAUGUUAUUUACAAAAGAAUGUUUGGUAGGAUUAUGUUGUCACUGAAACUGCUGACAAGCCUUAUGUUUACAUUGUUAUAGCCAGUUUUACUUGAGAUGCCUUAUUUAUACACCUAAGUACACAGGUCUUGUCAAGAUGCCAAAGUUUUCAGUGUCUUUUUUUUAAAUAAUCCGUUCAUUCAGCCAUUGUGGACCAUCUGCUUACAGCAUGCUGUUCUAAAACAAAAAGUCUGUAUAUUAUUGCUCAGUUGCUAUUGCAUUCUUUUAUAUAAUUUUUGAUGCAAAUAAAUCUUUAUUAAGUGGCAAGUGGACAGUUUAAUUGGGGUACCUUCUCAUUCCUGGAACUGCUCUCUCUCUAUUUCUCUCUCAUUUCAAAUGCUCUCAUAUACUAUUAAAGUUGGUGGCUAUAUUUUCAUGAAGCUUGGCUGCUACAAAUAACCGCUUUCAGGCACUGAUGCUCUUUCAAGUUGGUGGCUGUAUUUUAUGUUUGAAUCACUGGUAGGCUAUUAAAGUUGGUGACAAUAUUUCAUGUUUGAAAAGAAUGUGAAGCUUGACUGCUACAGACAACCGGUAAAGCUCAAUUAGAGAAGAUGAAAUCCAAUUUGGAGUGAAUAAUUUAUCUUUUGCCUGUGAUAUGGUCAGACAUGAUUGGUUUGCUUUCAUUAUUGAACAGAGUUUGCAUCUGGUAAAGAUAUAUGUACUCUAAUAUGCAACCUUUAGCCAUGAAAUUUCAGUUUAAGACUUGUGUAUUCAAACUUUUUAAAGAUUAAUAUGUAAUAUACUGAUACCUCAUGAGGCCAGAUUGUUUACCUUAAAAAUAUUCUGAUAGGAAUGGACAGUAUGCUAUUUCAUUUCUGUUUCCCGAAUGUGACAUGUUUGUGAGGAUGAUGAUAGUAUUCUUAUGCCCGUGUAACUACACAAAACAUUCUACACAAUGCCUUGACCAACUGCCUCCAACCUCCAUGCAAAUCAUUCACUUAUCUGUGCGAAAUUUUGAAUUUUCUUCUGCAUAGUCUUCCUUCAUUUAGUGAAAGACGUAAUCAUAAAUGGGUGAAGAACUUUUUUCCUUGCAACUUAAUUUUGUCUUCCCAGCUUGCCCCAACCUUAUAUUUGUACAGAAUUUUUGACAAGUGAUUUUUGUACUUUUUCGGGGGAAGGUUCAUGAGUACAAAUAUAUUAUUACUUGUAGGAUGCUUGUGUUUAUUGGUCUUUGUCCGGAGACCUUUUUUAGGAAAAAAAAAUAAGGUUGAGUUUUCUGUGUGCACUUUUAUGUCAAAAAUUUUGUUCAGUUUUGUGUAACAUUUUAUACUAUCACGUACACAACAACAUUGAUGUACGUAUUUGUGACUUCGUCUGUUUUCCCCACCUUAUUGCGUUUACUGCUUCUCUGAUUGUGGUCAAAGUGAGUCCGUAAUAUAUUCAAAAGGUAAACAACAAAGUUCUUUUUUUUUUUUUAAAUGUUUAAUUUUCAUCCUUUAUUUUAUUAUUAUGUUCUUGGUGCUUGGCUCAGACUCUUGAAUUUUUCAAUCAGGAAUGUUAUGCCUAAUGAUGCUUUCACAGGUCAGUUUUUAUUUUUUCAUGCAUAAUAAAAAAUGAUCACAAGGUCCCCUACAUAAAUCAUAUCUGAUUUAUUUGUUGCCCAGUCUAAUAAAGAAAUAAUAUACUUCUA